rnacentral:lncRNA from 1 species
GUAGUGCCGGGAAGGCAGUCGUGUUGCCCUGUGCCGGGGGAGGGUAACGGCCCGGCAUCCGACGUAACCAAGCUUUUACUCACGGUUUUUUUCCACGUAUAUGCAAUACAGUUUUGAUCUUGAAUGAAGUUCCUUGUUGACCAUAUAUUCCAUAUUGCCUAGCCUAUCAAAGCAAAAUUGCGUAUGUGUGGUUUUCCUGUGCUUCUCUCUAAAGUGGCCACCAGGCUUACUUAAGAUGUGCCGGGGUUUGUGCCGGAUUAGUUAAAGAGCUCCACUUGCCUCUCUUAGUGAAUAACAUAAUGUGAAGCCACUAACAAAGACCAGGCACGUCAAUUUGGCUCCUUUGCUGGAGGCUCUUGGUGGUACAUAUAGUCUUGCUUUUGGUGAUAUGAGGUGUCAUGGCUGUCCUUUUCUGAUAGCCUGUGGGGAUGGAAUAUUGGGUAGGAUUAAUAUCUGACCUUGAAAUGUGAACCAGGGUCACUUGUGGGGACUGGAUUAGAUUAGAUGUGUGUAGAAUUACUCCAUUUUAGGACAACUCUUAGUAAAUUAUGCUACCCUCUCAUUGCUUGCUUGUAAAUUGUGGAAACUAAGGCUCAUGCUGUAGAUGUAGGUCAUAUCAAUACUGUAAUUUUUCAGUUUUCUUUUAUUUUGGCACCUAUAGAAGAUGAUUUAUGUUUUUGUUAUAACAUAAGGAACAUAUGUCAACCUUUACUGAUAACAUACCAGGUGGUAUCAUAAAUAUUAGCAGCUGGGGACCAGAGUACCUAAGCCUCCUGGGGAUCCUGUGCGCCCCCUCUGGCUGGAGCUUACAUCCUUUUGUUUGAAGUAUUUUGCUUCUAAAUAAUGAGUGUAGCCCUCACAGAGCAUCAGCCUAAGCCAAACAGAUCAACAGAGAUGACACUGGGUCACUCUCCUGGUCUGGCACUCAAACUUCAUGGAAAAUGCAUUUGCAGAAAACAUACAGGACAGAUGCUAUGACUCGAGCUUGGGCAGUUGUUCCUGCUGCAGGCUGUGGAGAGAGGUUUGGACAUGACUGCCCAAAGCAAUUCAGCAUUGUACAGGGCCACACACUGCUCAGCUAUACCAUAUCUGGCCUCCUUGUGUGUGAUGACGUUGAGAUGGUAAUAGUGGUGACGUGCGAGCAUGACAGAGUGGGCAGUCUUCCUUCCUGGUGGAGACGUGCUCCCAACUCUGAUGGUACAGGUGAAUGCCCAUUAAGUGAAGAACACAACAGAGCACUGUGUCAAGCGGAGCACGCGGCAGGUCACCGAACAACGGAAAAUAAGCAUCUCCCAAUUGAAGUGCCACCCAGUCAGGCAUGUGAUCCGAAUGCGGUGCAAGGGGAAAGUGAACGGACAGUAGUGGAGGCGUCAUCGGAGCUGUUGCAUGCCGCGGUUGACCUCCCAGAAAAACGGCAGGGGACAGAGAGCAUGGCCUGUCUGCAGCGGAGCGGACCAGUUCCACCGGAGGGUGAUCGUAGCGUGGGUCAGCACGUCAGGGCCGAUGUGAUGCCGGACGCGCAGGACACACUGCGUACCGCUUCCUUGGAGCACAGGGUGCGCUACGUCGCGGGAUCCACCAGCCGACAUCGCUCCAUCAAGUGUGGACUGGACGCCAUUCCAGAACUCGGGCCGGCACCGGACGUGGUGCUGGUGCAUGACGGCGUGCG